rnacentral:rRNA from 1 species
GAUGAACGCUGGCGGCGUGCCUAAUACAUGCAAGUCGAGCGAACGGACGAGAAGCUUGCUUCUCUGAUGUUAGCGGCGGACGGGUGAGUAACACGUGGAUAACCUACCUAUAAGACUGGGAUAACUUCGGGAAACCGGAGCUAAUACCGGAUAAUAUUUUGAACCGCAUGGUCCAAAAGUGAAAGACGGUCUUGCUGUUACUUGUAGAUGGAUCCGCGCUGCAUUAGCUAGUUGGUAAGGUAACGGCUUACCAAGGCGACGAUGCAUAGCCGGCCUGAGAGGGUGAUCGGCCACACUGGAACUGAGACACGGUCCAGACUCCUACGGGAGGCAGCAGUAGGGAAUCUUCCGCAAUGGGCGAAAGCCUGACGGAGCAACGCCGCGUGAGUGAUGAAGGUCUUCGGAUCGUAAAACUCUGUUAUUAGGGAAGAACAUAUGUGUAAGUAACUGUGCACAUCUUGACGGUACCUAAUCAGAAAGCCACGGCUAACUACGUG